CUCACGGAAUUCUCGUUCUCGCGCCUCCUUCUCCCGUUGUCUUUGUUUUUCCUUUUCUUCCUCCUCUCUCUUCUUCCGGAACUCCUCCAUCUUCCUUCUUAUGUCUUCUUUUCGUUUUGUUUCCUCCCUCGCCUUUUCCCAGUCUGUGUCUUUCGGCUUGGGAGUGUCAUUUUCAGAUGGCUUGGGUGGCGUAGUUGGUGGUGGGUCUGGAGGAGAUUGAGGCGGCGGGGCCGACCCGCCAUCCCCAGAGGUUCCUUCUCCUUGUGUAUAACGAUGGCCUCCAGGAUACUGGCUACCAGGGAAUGGGCCGCCAUUGUAUUGUCCACCUGGGCUCGGACCAUUUCCAUAACCUCCUGAGUACUGCCCAUUGAAAUUUUGAUAGUGAGGGCCUUCCCCGGAGUUAUGAUUGGGGCCUGAUGAGGGAGGCGGUUCGUGCUGCGGGCCUCCGUGACCCGUUCCUCCACCAGUGGGCGGCGGUCGAGGAGCACCACGCGGCGGAGGCGGGGGCGGCGUGCUGCUGGAACCUGUUUGUGACCUUCCCCAAGCCCAGCUAGCAACUCCAACCACUAUAACAACCAAAAAGACACCCGAACCACCACUUUGAGCAACUGAUGAAACCCACGUUUUCAGAAUUGGCACCACCCAUACGUAUGCUCCUACUCCAACCAGAGUAGCCGCCACUCCCGCCAGAAAGCUGUUCCUAUGACAUUGAAGGGAAGGUAGGUAUAUGAAACCAGAACCUGACGAAUGAGGCGGAACGAUGAAAAUAUCAUAGGGUCCUUCUGGAAGGUCUGUCGAUUUGCGAUACCCGCCGUUUGCAUUGGGGGGUGGUCUACCUCCUGGAGGAGUACCGUGAGGUGGAGGAGGGGGGGGGGCCCCGUCCAUUAUUAGAGAGAAAACAGUAAAUUCAAGUGGCGAAAUGCAUGCAAAUGUCGUAAAAUAUUGUGUGUGUAUGGAUAUGCGUAUUUGAAGGUUCGACGAUAACUGAGGCUUUCUGUUUCCUGGCUAUUAUGCCACCACCAAUCCUUCCUAUUGUCGUAGAAGGAUCCGUACCAGUCGAUAUCUAAAGGCAAUGAAGAAUGUCUUCAUGAUCAGCCACACAAUGGGGUGGGGUGGCACUUGGGCCCCAAUCCCAAUCCCGAUGUUGUGCCUCUCGAUGGGGGUGGUUCUUCCUGGAAGAUCGUAGAAAGAUCCCAACUAUUCUAAUUGGCUGUGUUAAGCGGUGGGAGGACGGUGAUUUUUAAGUAAGGAGAGUUAUGGAGUCCGAGUUGACGUUGUUUUGGUAUGAGGACUGAAAAUCGGGACGGGUUGCUCUUCAGUCUUGAGUCAGUAACCCGCAAUCAAAAUUAUGAGCGUCACCCGAAGACCCUCAAGCAUUCACCAAACCCAACAUACGCUAUCAAACAGGGCGCGAGAGAGGGGAAAGAAAAAU
rnacentral:sRNA from 2 species